ensembl:snRNA U1 U1 spliceosomal RNA
AAAAUCUGGCAGGGGAGACACCAUGAUCAGGCAGGUGAUUGUCCCAGGGCAAGGCUCAUAUCCUGCAUGAUGGAUGUGUUGACCUCUGUGAUUUUCCCAAAUGUAGGAAACUCGACUGCUACAGC